AGACCCUCUGCUUCCAAUAGAGG
rnacentral:snRNA from 1 species